rnacentral:rRNA from 1 species
GUCUAUGGCCAUGCCACCCUGAACAAGCCCGAUGUCUGAUCUUGGAAGCUAAGCAGCGUUGGGCCAGGUUAAUACUUGAAUGGGAGACCACCUGGGAAGACCAGGUGCUGUAGGCA